rnacentral:rRNA from 1 species
UAGAACGCUGAAGGAGGAGCUUGCUUCUCUGGAUGAGUUGCGAACGGGUGAGUAACGCGUAGGUAACCUGCCUGGUAGCGGGGGAUAACUAUUGGAAACGAUAGCUAAUACCGCAUAAGAGUAGAUGUUGCAUGACAUUUGCUUAAAAGGUGCAAUUGCAUCACUACCAGAUGGACCUGCGUUGUAUUAGCUAGUUGGUGAGGUAACGGCUCACCAAGGCAACGAUACAUAGCCGACCUGAGAGGGUGAUCGGCCACACUGGGACUGAGACACGGCCCAGACUCCUACGGGAGGCAGCAGUAGGGAAUCUUCGGCAAUGGACGGAAGUCUGACCGAGCAACGCCGCGUGAGUGAAGAAGGUUUUCGGAUCGUAAAGCUCUGUUGUAAGAGAAGAACGAGUGUGAGAGUGGAAAGUUCACACUGUGACGGUAUCUUACCAGAAAGGGACGGCUAACUACGUGCCAGCAGCCGCGGUAAUACGUAGGUCCCGAGCGUUGUCCGGAUUUAUUGGGCGUAAAGCGAGCGCAGGCGGUUAGAUAAGUCUGAAGUUAAAGGCUGUGGCUUAACCAUAGUACGCUUUGGAAACUGUUUAACUUGAGUGCAAGAGGGGAGAGUGGAAUUCCAUGUGUAGCGGUGAAAUGCGUAGAUAUAUGGAGGAACACCGGUGGCGAAAGCGGCUCUCUGGCUU